AACGAACGCUGGCAGCGUGUUUAAGACAUGCAAGUCGCACGGUGUCAUUUUGGUAGCAAUACUUGGAUGGCACAGUGGCGCACGGGUGAGUAACACGUGAAUGACAUGCCCUUCAGAGGGGGAUAGCCCAGGGAAACUUGGAUUAAUACCCCAUGGUCUCGCAAGAGUAAAGGUGGCCGCAAGGCUGUCGCUGGAGGAUUGGUUCGCGUUCUAUCAGCUUGUUGGCGGGGUAACGGCCCACCAAGGCUACGACGGAUACCUGGUCUGAGAGGACGAUCAGGCACACUGGAACUGAGACACGGUCCAGACACCUACGGGUGGCAGCAGUCGAGAAUAAUUCACAAUGGGGGCAACCCUGAUGGUGCAACGCCGCGUGGAGGAUGAAGGUCUUCGGAUUGUAAACUCCUGUCAUCCGGGAGCAAGACCUGACGGUGAAUAGCCGGCAGGGUUGAUAGUACCGGAAGAGGAAGGGACGGCUAACUUCGUGCCAGCAGCCGCCGUAAUAC
rnacentral:rRNA from 1 species